rnacentral:misc_RNA from 1 species
CUGUAAGUAUAUUAUAACAUCGCAUAGAUGAUUGUAAUUGAAAUGAUAUGUUAAAAAUAAACAGGCAUGGUCUUAUCUUGAUAAAAAUUAACAUUAAUUUUUUUUUUACAGUGACAACAAUAGUCUAUGUGUAUCGUAAAGAUAACAAAUCUGUCAAAUAUUCCACCAGCUGGUUAUUUUGGACAGUUCUCAUAUUAAAGAUAAUUUAUAAAUGGAAACAAAUUUCUGAAUGAAUGAAUAAUAAUCGUAAAUCGUUCGAACUGUAACGAGCAAUAAGAAUCAUGAAAGGAGGUAAAAAAUGAAUUAAUGUUUACCAAGAUUUUCUGAAUUACGCGGGAAAUUCAAGUAGUAUUAGCAGAGUAUAAAGUAGUAUAGGCAGAGUAAACGCCAACAAACGCAGAACCGCUUCGAUAAUAGUGAGUUUCUGCUUGAUAGAGGGACACCUAAAAUCAGACACGUUGCGACGCCCCUCGAACUACGGCUCAGCUGAGAUGGUCUGAGCCAAUCACGCUGCGCAUUGCUGCUCUCGCCACUUCAAACCAGCGAAUGGUGUUCGUUGAAAUACGUGCGGCUGGUCGCGCACCACACUAGAAUAGUAUCGACGUGUUUCUGCACCGUAUACUAGAAUACAUAUACCUCGUGGAACUCGCAAUCCGCAACGGCCACGUGUCUGUGUGUUGGCAGAAUACGUGUGAGGCCCAGUAACAGUGUGCGUUGAGAGAAAUACUUGGCUACCCGAAGUAGAAGCGGAAUAAACACACUGGAUCUACUUAGAUCAACGGUCAACCUUUGCCAAUAACAAGUGAAUCGAAGAAAUGUUUCCAAACAGCUCAACAGGUUUGACACCGCUGAGACGCUGGUCCGAGGAUUGGCACGCACUGUAUCCUUCAACCUCGUUAAAGAAUUGGUAAUUCGUACUUCGAAUUCAAUGGCCUUGAACAUGUUUCGAAUAAAUCAUGUCAGUGCCAUAUCUUAUACAAAUAGAACAUAUCAAAGUAAUAGAAAAAUAUGUGCAGAAUUAUGAAUAUUGUAAGAUCGAUGAGAAAACCUUUGCAUUGAGUGGUGAAAUUAUAGUGUGAAUAUAGAUAUAUUACAUUAAAUUUCGUCUACUAUCUCAUAAUUCCUAUACUGACUAAAAAUAUUUGAAUUAAUAUUAUAUACGUUAUUCUACCGAGAUAUACAAUGAAGCUGAAAUUUUUAAGAAAUUAUAAUACCCAAUUAUUUAUAAUUACUCAUAUUACUGAUUACGAUCACUACUUUCACAAUAUCUUACACUAUCUUGUAACCACUAUCUAUACUAUCUAAGCACUGUAAAAAGUGCAUUAUCUUCUCUUCGAAAAUUUCCGACAAAUCGAUAUUGUAAACGUAAAGUAAAAGAUCAAAUAUUAUACCACGCUCGGAAUUAAAAGUACUAGUUUAUUUUAAAUGGCUUAAGUUAUGCGAAACAAACCAUCUCCGGGAUGGCGGGAAAUACAGAUAAGAAUAGAUAAAUAUUUAGGUUUCAAAUAGUAAGCAAUGCCACGAAAAGACAGUAACAAAAAAAGAAAGAAGAAAGGCACGUAGCCAGGUUUACAUCUAAAUAAAAACAUAAAAGAGAACAAGGAAAGCGUAACUAUUUUUACUACUUGUCGCGCGGUAUCGUAAAUCUUGUUAUCGCUUCAUAACUCUCAGGCGAAUGUUCGUGCGACCGUAGUAC